GGCUGGAGUGCAGUGGCAUGAUCUUGGCUCACUGCAACCUUCAUCUCCGGGGUCCAAGCGAUUUUCCUACCUCAGCCUCCCGAGUAACUGGGAUUACAGUCUGUACUACGUUGUAAUCAGAAAACACAUUCAGCUGAGAAGCAAGAUUGGCAACAGCAUCAUCGGUUUGAGGCUGCAUACACGGACGGGGCUGGUUGACCUGGGCUGGGCUGAGAGCAGCUGGAGAACAGCUUCCAGCGGUCGGCUGGGCAGCUCCCCCUCGGCUAGAGGAUGACCCAUCUUAUGCCUAUGGAGAACACGGCGGAAAUCACAGCAGGCGAGGUUUAAGACCUCUGGGCCUCCCUCAUUGGGCACAAAGGGCAGGGACCAAGACUGUCCUCAAGUUGUGUAACUGACAGAGCUGGCAUGCAGUGGAAGCUGUAAAGACUAAGUGUAGUUUAAUAUACCCAGUCACUUCCAGGGCACAGUUCACAGAGGCAAUAUUGAACGCACAGGCCGAGUGUGUGGUCGGCCGGCUCCCGCUGCAGCAGGCGGCCCUUCGUACGGACAUCCUGCCUGUGAGGCCAGCAGCUAUCACGAGAACAGAGCUACAAUUGAUGAUGCCGAGCUGAACGACAAUGGAGCAAAGCAGCAUUUAUUUUAGCACAGCAGGCCUGGUGGCUGGAGCUAGGCCACCCUCUCCUCCCCGGGGACCUCCAGGGCUUGACGGAGCCCCUUCAAUGGACAGGUGGAAACACAGGCCUGAGAACCUCUGCUGGGGACAGAGGCUAAACAGAGAGAAGGCCCCAGGCUUGGGCCAGUUCUACACAAUGGGCAGCUGAGAUGGAGGGACGGCUUCAUCCUGCCGGCUUCCUCCACCCGAGGGCCCCUGCUGACAUGUGUCCCCAUCUCCUCACACUGCCCCGGCCGUCCACUGCCCUGCGAGGCCUCUGAGGACAGAAGAGGAAGAUUGCUGCAAGGCUGGCACAGACACAGCCCCAUCCCCUGCAGUUCCUUCAGGGCAGGUCCUGCUCUGAGUUCACCAAUGGCGGCUGCACAGUCCCACCCUGGGAACCUCAGUAAACGUCACCCACCAAAGACUCAAUGCUCAGGAGGUGGCCAGCCUGCACACAAGGCCUCCGGAACCUCCUGCACUGAAUUAAAACUCAGAAUGGGAAAGGCUCCCCAGCCCUGGAGCCCUGACAGGGGAAAUUGCCCGAGGCGGCCCAGCUAGAGGAGGCCUUUGAAGCCAAGCACAGGACCCUCCAUUAAAGAAGAAUGACACCAAUGGUCACAGCGGCGCUGGUGCACAGAGGAGGAGAGCGGGC